rnacentral:tRNA from 1 species
GCCCACUUAGCUUAGAGGUUAGAGCAUCGCAUUUGUAAUGCGAGGGUCAUCGGUUCAAAUCCGAUAGUCGGUU